GUGGGGAAUAUUGGACAAUGGGCGCAAGCCUGAUCCAGCAAUGCCGCGUGGGUGAAGAAGGUCUUCGGAUCGUAAAGCCCUUUCGACAGGGACGAUGAUGACGGUACCUGUAGAAGAAGCCCCGGCUAACUUCGUGCCAGCAGCCGCGGUAAUACGAAGGGGGCUAGCGUUACUCGGAAUUACUGGGCGUAAAGGGCGCGUAGGCGGCUCUGUUAGUCAGGCGUGAAAUUCCUGGGCUUAACCUGGGGACUGUGCUUGAUACUGCAGGGCUUGAGGCCGAGAGAGGGUGGUGGAAUUCCCAGUGUAGAGGUGAAAUUCGGAGAUAUUGGGAAGAACACCGGUGGCGAAGGCGACCACCUGGCUCGGUUCUGACGCUGAGGCGCGACAGCGUGGGGAGCAAACAGGAUUAGAAACCCCAGUAGUCC
rnacentral:rRNA from 1 species